rnacentral:rRNA from 1 species
GAUGAACGCUGGCGGCGUGCCUAAUACAUGCAAGUCGAGCGAACAGACGAGGCGCUUGCUCCUCUGACGUUAGCGGCGGACGGGUGAGUAACACGUGGAUAACCUACCUAUAAGACUGGGAUAACUUCGGGAAACCGGCGCUUAUACCGGAUAAUAUAUUGAACCGCAUGGUUCAAUAGUGAAAGACGGCUUUGCUGUCACUUAUAGAUGGAUCCGCGCCGCUUUAGCUAGUUGGUACGGUAACGGCUUACCAAGGCAACGAUGCGUAGCCGACCGGAGAGGGUGAUCGGCCACACUGGAACUGAGACACGGUCCAGACUCCUACGGGAGGCAGCAGUAGGGAAUCUUCCGCAAUGGGCGAAAGCCUGACGGAGCAACGCCGCGUGAGUGAUGAAGGUCUUCGGAUCGUAAAACUCUGUUAUUAGGGAAGAACAAAUGUGUAAGUAACUAUGCACGUCUUGACGGUACCUAAUCAGAAAGCCACGGCUAACUACGUG